UGCUGCUUCUCAUUGAGCACUCUGUGGAGGUGGCCAUCGGCAAAGGAUAUUGCAAAAUCCCACAGACUUCCUACUACAAGAUAGCGGACAUUGCUUCCAGCUUCCUGCUCAUCAUCAUGCUUUUUAUCAUCAGCGUGAGCCUGCUCUAUGGCGUACUCAAGAACCGAGAGAGACAUCUUUUGCCCUUCCUGUCUCUGCAAAUCAUGGAUUUUCUCCUGUGCCUCCUCACGCUGCUGGGCUCCUACAUUGAACUCCCUGCCUACCUGAAGUUUGGUUCCCGGGGGAGC